rnacentral:sRNA from 1 species
GAAGACAAAUACGAUUGUGGGAGAGUCUCCCGCGAGGGAGAUCUUAGAUUUUUAGGCCAGUUUGCGCAAUGCAGGAGGGUUAACAGGUUAUUAGUGCGAUCAUUUCAAGCGAGUGAAAGUGAAAGUAGAGACACAAAGUUUACAGUGAGGAAAAAUACUUCAUUCAAGCAGUGUCCUGCUAUCUAAUAUUAGUUUGCAUUGUGAGGGAGUUAUAUUGAUGCCCGAUAUGUUCAAUAUGGCAUAAUGCCUGGUCAUAAAAAAGAGAACAAAACCGUCAGACAGAAGAAAAAUAAAUCAGAACAUCAGGACUUGUAUCUGCGAAGGAAAUUCCUUAUUGAGGCUCCUUCAGAAAACUCUGUAAUAUGCAACAGAUGCCGCCAUGUGUAUAGAACUGAAACACAAGGAACUAAAAGAUCAGAUGUGUGUACCCAUGUUGCAUGUACCUCAGUGUUAUCAUCAGAGGACCAAAACAAACAGAAGAGAAGCAUGUCAAGCCCACCAUCUGUGUCGCUUCCCCUGGCCUCCACUGCUAAAUCUCAUGCAUAUUGCUGUGUGUGCAAAAAGCCAGGACCAAAGUUGGUGGUUGUUGCAGCAGAGAGUAGAACAGCAGUUUUUGUUGAGAAAAAUAUUCUUAUACCACCAGGAAACAGAUGUUGUCCUGCUCAUUUGCAUGAUGGGAUGUUUACCAGUGAUGCUGUCAAACAACUUCAAACAACUGAAAAUUCUUUCGUGAAUCGAACAACCAUUUACUGAUCUUUUACAGCAGAUGCGUUUAUUGUGUCAGCGAAAUGAAAAACAGUGUUUGGACUUCGAUGAUGCUAAAGCUCUGACAGACACAGACUACAAAAGUUUAUUAGGGAUCACCAAAGCAAACUUUCGAGAACUUUGUGACUCUGUGGAGGGUUUGAUCAAGAACACACCCGCCAGAAGCCUAACUACUUCUGUUGCCAUUUUUUCUGUAAAAUGAAAACUGGACUCUCAAAUGUUAUUCUCUCAACUUUAUUUCGAACAUCCAAAUCCAGUUUGAGGAGAGCAAUAUCUGCUGUCAGGAAGGCUUUGUUAAUUAAGUUUGUACCAGAAAAUCUUGGUUUUACCCACAUCUCACGAGAAGAGAUCAUCAACAAACACACCCGACCACUUGCUCAGACUUUGUUUGGAAGUAUUGAAAAAAACCAAGUCAUCUUAGUUUUGGAUGGAACAUACAUCUAUGUAAACAAAAGUAACAAUUUUCACUUUCAGCGACGGUCAUACAGCAUCCAUAAAGGGAGACCCCUCAUAAAGCCAAUGGUGGUGGUUACAACAACAGGGUAUUUUGUGUCUAUACUGGGCCCCUAUUUAGCUGAUAGAAGUAACAAUGAUGCAUCCAUCCUCAGUCACAUUAUCAACAGCAAUGCUGAAAGUAUCCGCUCCUGGCUUAAUGAAGAUGAUGUAUUCGUCGUGGACAGGGGCUUCAGAGAUGCCCUGCCUUUGUUGGCUGAUCUAGGGAUACAGGCCGAAAUGCCAAACAUUUUUGAAGGCUGGACAAAAGCAGAUGUCAACUGAGGAUGCCAAUAUGAGUCGGCUAGUGACAAAAGUGCGUUGGGGUCGUUGAGUCAUCAAAUGCUCGUAUCAAGAGAUGGAGAUAUCUGGACCGUGUUUUGCCAACCAAUCAGAUUCCGAACAUAGGAGAUUAUGUAAGGAUCGUGUGUGCAGUGUCCAAUAAAUUCUCACCUCCAUUGAGCUCCUGUACCAGCAAAGAUGAGGAUGAUGCAGAAGCUGCUAAAAUGCUUCAUCUGUCCAAGCAGGUUAAUCACUUGAAGACGUUUGUUGAUGAGAAUGGACUGCAGAGGAAAACUGCUGUAUGGAAUCGGCCUCAGAAGUAGAUUUGGAUUCGUUUCCUAGACUUGACGAUGAGGAACUCAGGAAUCUUACCUGCGGAACAUAUCAACUGAAGUUAUCGUCUAGUUAUAUGCAGGAGCAUUUGGAUGGUGAGAGUGACAUUUACUUCCAUGAAGAGGACAACACACUCCUCAGAGCAAAGAUCCAGAGUAGACAUAUUUCGUCCAAGAAGUACCAACUUUGGAUCCAUUAUAGUGAGAGUACAGUGGAAUCUUGGUACUGCACAUGUAGAGCAGGAGCAAGAGUUGUCGGGAUGUGCUCCCACAUUGCAGCAGUUAUUUGGUACCUUAGCAGUGCAAGGUAUGGUAGUGAUAAAUCAUUGGGUGUGAGAGAUUGGUGCAAACAUGUCUUGGAUGCAGCUGAUAUUCCAGCAAGUGUUGAUGAGUCUGAUAGUGAUAGUGGUGAAAGUUUGCCUGAAGAAUGAUUUUUAUGAGUGUACAUGUGCAUGUAUGUGUGUUCGAGUGCCAUGUGUGAUUGUAAUUUGAUUUAUUGUUAAAAGCAUGUACAAGGAUAUCUUGGUGGUAGCUCAAUUGUUGUUGAAUAAAUAGAGUGCAUUGUAACAUGACUUGUAGUUAAAACAUUUACUUUAUUGAUGUAAUUAUACAUUUCUUGUCAGGGUAUUUAACUUGUUUCUUCAAUUAACUAACUUUGAUUCUGCUAACUUAAUUAAUUUGUCAUGCUUUUUAAAAAUGGUUUAUAAUAUUAUGCCAUAUACAUGUAAUGAUUGCAUUAAAUAAUUGUCUUGAAGAAUAUAAAUGCGCAAUGUAAAAAAGUAAGUGUACAUAUAAUGCAUAUGUAUAAAUAAUUAUGCAUUCUUUGAAUUAUCUUCAUAUAAUUAAAACUGUGCAUUCUGAAUAUUGAUCUCAAUUGUAAAAAUGAUAUUGUAUGGUGUAAAAUGUUCAGAAUUGAUAACACUGUAUAAAAAAAACUAUGCAAAAGGAAACAGAUGAGCAGUUGUAUUUUGUGGAGCUACAUUUAGCUACAUGUACUGUAGAAACUGAUUCAAUGUUGUACUUAUUAUAACUAUAUAUGAUAUAUAACGUUGCUAAGUGACAAGUUUAAUUGGUUACCAUGGAAAUUGUUAUUUAUUCCAUUAUAUCAAAUAUUUAGUACAUUAUAUAAAACAGGUAACUUUUGAAAGAAAAAAUCAUUGUGCUUGAAAUAAUAGUCAUCAGUGUAAACACUCACAUGUAUUUAUAAAUAUAUAUAUGAAUGAUGAUUUAAUCAGAUUCUGUGGUUGCCAUGGUAACCUUAACAAUUAUUAAACUUGUUUAAAAGUU